rnacentral:lncRNA from 1 species
GAAACCUCCAUUGGUUUUGAAGGACUUAUUCUUAAAGUCCUCCUUCCAUCUAUUUCUAUCUUCUAGGUAUGUCAAUUCAGGAAGAUUGGGAGGCAAUCUAAUCUCCAAAGAUGUUGGAUAGUGAUGCAUAGGUUGAAAUUGGGUUCUCUCAAUCCCAUAUGAGUGUCCUUGGGAAUUUCCUAGAUUUUGAAUAUGUAUUGGAAUAAAGCUAGGUAUUCUAUGAUCUUCCUUCUUCCACUUUCACUCUUGCUGCUUAUCAAUAUUUUCAAUUACUUGAGCUAACUUUUUAGCCUCUUCUAAAUUAUGUGGUCUUCUAUUGAAGAUUUCUCAAAUUUUUCCUUUACU